rnacentral:rRNA from 1 species
GAUGAACGCUGGCGGCGUGCCUAAUACAUGCAAGUCGAGCGAACAGACGAGGAGCUUGCUCCUCUGACGUUAGCGGCGGACGGGUGAGUAACACGUGGAUAACCUACCUAUAAGACUGGGAUAACUUCGGGAAACCGGAGCUAAUACCGGAUAAUAUAUUGAACCGCAUGGUUCAAUAGUGAAAGACGGUUUUGCUGUCACUUAUAGAUGGAUCCGCGCCGCAUUAGCUAGUUGGUAAGGUAACGGCUUACCAAGGCAACGAUGCGUAGCCGACCUGAGAGGGUGAUCGGCCACACUGGAACGGAGACACGGUCCAGACUCCUACGGGAGGCAGCAGUAGGGAAUCUUCCGCAAUGGGCGAAAGCCUGACGGAGCAACGCCGCGUGAGUGAUGAAGGUCUUCGGAGCGUAAAACUCUGUUAUUAGGGAAGAACAAAUGUGUAAGUAACUAUGCACGUCUUGACGGUACCUAAUCAGAAAGCCACGGCUAACUACGUG